UAUGUACAUGGCUACAACGUUAAUGAACCAUAUCCCAUUAUAAGUCCAUAGUUAAGAAUGCUUAGGCUUGAUUAGUACCAGGAUGGGUGACCUCUUAGGAAAUCCUAGUGUUUGACAUGC
rfam:Picea glauca, whole genome shotgun sequence.